CACUGCAUAUCAAACCAAACGACAGGCAAGCUGUUGCCAGUUUGGCAGCCGACAAUA
rnacentral:ribozyme from 1 species